rnacentral:ncRNA from 2 species
AGGCCUACCUCGGGGUGCGCUCAAGACUGCGCUGAGAUGCCAACAGGCGAACCCGUUGAACCUGAACCGGCUAGAACCGGCGGAGGGAAAGGUAAAGGUUUCGUCC